CCUACGGGGGACAGCAGUGGGGAAUAUUGCACAAUGGGGGAAACCCUGAUGCAGCGACGCCGCGUGAGUGAAGAAGUAAUUCGUUAUGUAAAGCUCUAUCAGCAGGGAAGAAAAUGACGGUACCUGAGUAAGACGCCCCGGCUAACUCCGUGCCAGCAGCCGCGGUCAUACGUAGGGGGCAAGCGUUACCCGGAUUUACUGGGGGUAAAGGGAGCGUAGACGGCAGUGCAAGUCUGGAGUGAAAGGCGGGGGCUCAACACCCGGACUGCUCUUGAAACUGUACGGCUGGAGUGCAGGAGAGGUAAGUGGAAUUCCUAGGGUAGCGGUGAAAUGCGUAGAAAUUAGGAGGAACACCAGUGGCGAAGGCGGCUUACUGGACUGUAACUGACGUUGAGGCUCGAAAGCGUGGGGAGCAAACAGGAUUAGAUACCCCUGUAGUC
rnacentral:rRNA from 1 species